UACGGAGGGAGCUAGCGUUGUUCGGAAUUACUGGGCGUAAAGCGCACGUAGGCGGCUUUGUAAGUUAGAGGUGAAAGCCCGGAGCUCAACUCCGGAACUGCCUUUAAGACUGCAUCGCUUGAAUCCAGGAGAGGUGAGUGGAAUUCCGAGUGUAGAGGUGAAAUUCGUAGAUAUUCGGAAGAACACCAGUGGCGAAGGCGGCUCACUGGACUGGUAUUGACGCUGAGGUGCGAAAAGCGUGGGGAGCAAACAGG
rnacentral:rRNA from 1 species